UACGGAGGGUGCAAGCGUUAAUCGGAAUUACUGGGCGUAAAGCGUGCGCAGGCGGUUUGUUAAGUCCGUUGUGAAAGCCCCGAGCUCAACUUGGGAAUUGCAGUGGAUACUGGCAGGCUGGAGUACGGUAGAGGAAGGUGGAAUUCCCGGUGUAGCAGUGAAAUGCGUAGAUAUCGGGAGGAACACCAGUGGCGAAGGCGGCUACCUGGACCAGCACUGACACUGAGGCACGAAAGCGUGGGGAGCAAACAGG
rnacentral:rRNA from 1 species